AGGAAUAUUUGGGGAAGAGCAAAGAAUUGAUGUUGAAAGUGAAACUCUAGAUGCAUCGUUUCUCAAUAAAAUUCAUGACGCUUUCAGUUCAUCUUCAAUUUUAUCGUCAAUUUAUCUUCUCUUCUCAUCUUCAAUUUUGUCUUCUCCACUCAAAACAUCUUCUUUUCCACUAAACAAAACAUCAACUUCUCCGAUGCAAUCAAUACCUGAACCAACAGUUUCUCUUUUCCCUGACCCGGAGAAGCACAUCAUCAAUGUCAUCUAUUGGAUUUCUGUGUGCACCGUUUCGGUUAUGCUACAGGUUCUUUUUAAUCCUUUUUCUCUGGUGCAGAAUUUCCUGUUGGUUUGGUUGAAUUGUUCGGAAAGUUUAUGAAGCUGUUGCGGUUCAGUUCAGAUUUUGUGUGUAAGAGAUGGAGUUUUCUGCUACAGAUUUCUAUUAUAUGGUGCUGCAAGUAUUUUAUUGCAGGUGCAACUAGAUUGGUCAUGAACAUGUAGCUUUGUUUUGGUUUCGAAGUGAAUUUUUAUUGCUGGUCCGAUUUAAGGUGAAGGGAUGAGUAGUAGUGAAUGAGAUUCAGUUUGUAUUAUUGUCUUGAUAAUAGCUUUGAUUCUAGAUUAUAGCUUUUUAUUUAUGGUCUGAUUCUAGCUUUGUUUUUACUGUCUUGAUAAUGUCUUGAUAAUAGCUUGUGAAGCCAACAAGAUGUGAAUGAGAUAAAGUUUUCCUUUCUCCUUUGAAUUCAAAGUUUCUUCAAUGAUGUAAUGUUAAUAUAAGGGUGUAAUGGGAUAUGACCCUUUAUGUUGUCAAGUCUUUUGAAAUAUUAUCAUAAUAUAUUGUAUGUGGUUUAUUUAGGUUUUUAAGUGUACUUCCUA